GAUCCAACUUUGCCAUCAAGAAAACCUCCCCCCCCAAAAAAAACAAAUAAACUCUCUUUCCGCUAGAGAGAGAAAAUAAAAGAAAAUUCGGAGAAAAAAAAAAACAGAGAAAAUAGAGGAAGAAGAGAGGCAUCAAUGGCGGAGGGAGAAAAGGAGAAGAAAUCAACGAACGAAGAGAGCGUGAAGCUGUUCGUUGGUCAAGUGCCGAAGCAUAUGACGGAAGCUCAACUUCUCGCAAUGUUCAAAGAGUUUGCUUUGGUCGACGAAGUCAACAUCAUCAAAGACAAGGCUACUCGCACCUCUAGAGGAUGUUGCUUUGUUAUAUGCCCGUCGAGACAAGAGGCCGAUAAGGCAGUCAAUGCCUGUCAUAAUAAGAAGACUUUGCCUGGGGCUUCUAGUCCAUUACAAGUGAAGUAUGCAGAUGGCGAGUUGGAAAGAUUAGAGCACAAACUCUUUGUUGGCAUGCUGCCAAAGAAUGUCUCGGAAGCUGAAGUUUCUGCUUUAUUUUCUAACUAUGGAACCAUAAAGGAAAUACAGAUCCUAAGAGGUUCUCAACAGACAAGUAAAGGCUGUGCCUUUUUGAAGUAUGAGACAAAAGAACAAGCCCUUGACGCCCUGGAGGCCAUUAAUGGAAAGCAUAAAAUGGAGGGCUCAAGUGUCCCUGUUGUUGUCAAAUGGGCAGAUACAGAAAAGGAAAGACAAGCUCGGAGGGCCCAGAAAGCCCAAUCUCAAGCUUUGAAUAUACCAAAUGCUGAUUCACAACAUCCUUCAUUGUUUGGAGCCAUGCCAAUGGGUUAUGUUCCUCCAUACAAUGGUUAUGGAUAUCAGGCUCCAGGAAGUUAUGGAAUUAUGCAGUACCGCUUGCCACCAAUGCAGAAUCAGCCUCCAUUCCACAAUAUGGUUCCUCCAGUAAAUCAAGGUGCAUUGCAAGGAAUCACACCUGACCUCGCUCCCAAUAUUGCUCCUAGAAAUAAUGCUAUGCCUCCUGCAAGUUAUGUGGGAUCGGCUUAUCCAGCUGUGACAGGUGUUCAGUACCCCAUGGCAUAUCCCGGGGGAAUCAUGAGCCACAGUCCAUUGACUGGUUCACCUGGUUCAGUGCCACAAGCAAAUACAAGCAGUAAUUCUUCAUCAUCUUCCAGUGCUGGUACAAGUUCAGGAGGUCAGAUUGAAGGUCCACCUGGUGCAAAUCUAUUUAUUUAUCACAUACCUCAAGAUUUUGGUGAUCAAGAGUUGGCUACCGCUUUUCAAGGAUUUGGUAGGGUCUUAAGUGCAAAGGUUUUUGUUGACAAAGCAACGGGGGUUAGUAAAUGUUUUGGAUUUGUUAGUUAUGACUCUCCAGCAGCUGCUCAAAAUGCAAUAAACAUGAUGAAUGGAUGCCAAUUAGGUGGUAAGAAACUGAAGGUUCAGCUUAAGAGAGACAACAAACAGAACAAACCUUAUUGAUUGGGAGGUGAGUCUUGGAAGGAAGCAGAAAAUGUCUGUAACAUGUGGUCAACAUGGAACUUGGAUAUAUUGACUGACUGGUGACUUCAGUAUCAGCAUUUUGGGUGGAUUGAGGAUAACCUGUGGUUAUAUGUGUCACUCCAUCCUUCUUGUAAUUGCUUCAUGGGAUUAAAAUCCCAGAAACUUGUAAUUCAUGGUGCAUUCGUUGCCUACACGAUUUGUAUUCUGUGUAUCAUUGAAUUCCAUUUAGACACUAAUUAUUAAUUUAUUGAUUUUUCCUUGAGAAUAUCUGUUCUUAUUUUAAUCUUGUGGGGACAUCAUGAUUCAAUGUCCCCUAAAUGUAUUGUUUCCACAUUCAAUAACUUGUUUUUCUGCAAUUUGAUUUUUUUUCCUCACCAAGGUACAUUCUGGGAGUUUAUUCAACUCCUGUGUAUAUUCACUCAAGAGCAUUGUACUUAAGCACUUCUCUUCUGUUCACUGGGGCAAUUUAUUUUUGCUGAUAUUUUUUUAAAGAGCAGCUUCCUGUUAUCCUAGAAAAGAAUGGCUUUAGUAGUGGGUUUGUUUAUAUCCAAGUUGUCUGAAGUGAUUGUCCAAGUUUCUUUUAGAAAUGCAUUCUGAUCUAUGACAUUCAGGUAUUAUAAAAUCAUCUGUACAUUGAGGUCCUGUUAUCUUUGAGGUUUUUGCAUGUGAUUUCCUUUCUGUCCAUCUUGCCAUUGGUUUGGUUCAAGAUGUUGGAGAUAUAUUAACUUGAUGGUUCCCAUCCAAUACUCCGUUGAAAUGUGGAGGUAUUUCUCAUGCUCUGCUCUUUCAAUUGAGUAUUCUCCUGCCUGAGUACAUCUGCUGUCGCAGGAUAACCAAGGACCCAACAUCUCAGGUAAUGCUUGUUGCUUGUAUGUUGAGUGUUCUUUGUCCUGGGAUCAAGAAGCAUUACCAACAAUUAAGGUACCAUCUAUGUCAUUUAUGAGAAUCAUCAUCAUGACAUCACUUGGAUUAAAAUCGGAAUUACUGUAGUGUAGGGCUUGGAUCUUGCUAAUUUCUGACUAUCCUUCACAAGCCUCGUUCAGUUUGUGCAGAACUAUUUCUGACAUGAUGAACUUUUUCUGCCAUUUUAUAUAUCCUUUGAUUUUAUACUUGCUUAUUUGUAUUAGUUCAUAACUGCAUGAGAAUUGGUCUUUUUCAGGGGCAUUGCGUGGUUAGAGGUAUACUGAAUUGUAGUAUUGCUGGUUGCUGCCAAUAUCAAGUUGAUAUAAAGAACUAAUUAUUGAGGGUAGACUAUUUUGCUGGUAAAUAUUUUAAAACGUCAUACCUGGAAAAAUCAUAGAAGGCUGAACAACUGGAAGAUGUGUCUUGCUGUGUGUCUGGGAUUCAUUUUAUUUAUUUUGCUUUCUCACCAUUUACAUUAGCAAAUUAUGCGUCCACCUGAUAUUAUUAGUGUAUUUGAAAGGUUGAAUUGGAACUUCGCGGGUGAUGUAUUUCAGCAUUGUAUUGCAUUUCUUUUCAGAAGCAUCAAGCAUAUCAUCAAAUGAUGUUAUUGAUCUGGUAUUGUUGAAAGUAGGAAAGCAUCAAGCAUAUCUGGUUGCAAAUGCCCAUAUUCUUAUCCAAAACCUUGAAUACGCAAUGAGACUAGGAUGCUAUGUAUCGUGAACAUCAUUUAUUUUGUUGAGAUUAUGCUGCAAGUUCUACGAAGUUGGAAUUGCAUGUUUUACGGUGACCUAAAGAUAAAAUGCUUUACUCAAUCUGAGCACCUGUCACCCACUAAACUAUCCCUGCUACUAAAAUUUGAAGCAAUCUUUUCCUUAACUUUUAGCUCCAAGUAGUUUAUACCGCCCUAAUUGAUAUUCAAGUUUCAUUUAUUCACUGAUGAGGACAUUUUAAUCUGACAGGAAAGUUUGGACUAUGUUGAAGCGUCCUGCCCCCAUUUCUUGACAACAGGUGCUGUUUUGUUCAUUUCAGUUCAUUCCAUAGGCGUCUCUCUUCUCUGUCAUGCCAUUUGUCAAAAUAUUCCUGUGGGUGUUUGGCGCAUCCCCACUGCUUUAUUCUUCUUGUUUUUCCUGUAAAUAAGACUGUAUAUAGGUAGACAAAGCAAAGAAACGCAUUUGUUUUGUUUAGAUUAAACUACAUAUGCUCACAUAACAUCUAGAAGAAAGCCUAGUAUUCAUAUUUGAGUAUGAUUGUUGUAAAUCUGUUGGCUGCCUACUUUUGGCCGUCCUUUCCAAUUUUUCCACUUCUCUUUUUUUUUACGAGUAACGUGAAUGAAUGUUGUUUGUGUAGUGGGUCAUAAUCUGGUCACCAUCAGUAUCAACCUUAUCGACAAUGCUUCCUCAUGAUUCUUUUCUCUUCUGCCAUUCCACGUUUCCCAUUCUUGAUUUGUGGCGAGUUUUGAGUGCUUUCCAGCAGGUGAUAGAUUUGAACCUACAAUUCUAUGCCAAACUCGACUGUUCAGCCUCGUUUCUUCUUUCUUUUAUCACUACUUUUUUAUACAAUAUCAAUUAUGAUUUACACCAAUGAAAUUUACAAACUCAUUUAUUUGAUACUUACUAUCUAAAUGUCAAAUUUUGAAGCAGAACAAGUCUUUUGCUUUCUGGUUGAAACAGUCAAUAAACCUGUUGUACUUGCUCAGUAAGAUCAGAUGAAUCUAUUGUUUUGAAUUUGACGUGUUUAAACAUGAAUAAAAAUUUGAUUUUUUAUGUUUAAAAUCAAAUCAAAUUAUUUGUUGUUCUCGAAGUGGUUU